CCUAAGAUGAACUUUGACCUGCUGAAAGGUUGUUGGUACCAGCAGGGAGGGAACCAGAACCUGCAGGAUGCCGGGCCUCCAGGACCCACUUUGGGCUCCACUGAUCUACAUCAGGAACCUUCUCUGGUUUCCUCUGUCCCUCCUCUACAACAUCUCCAUGUUCAACAUCCUUCCUCCAAUUUACUAAUGUAGUGAAUCAUUUAUGUCAGAUAUUUGGACACAUUUCCAUUUAGUAUUGAAUAUAAACAAUAGUAAACACUGUCCUGCUUUUCAUUGCUGUUAUUAAGGUGGUUCCUGAGUGAAAUGUGAGUUUCAUCCUGUGAAGGUUUGUCUGCUGCUCUGAUCCCUUGAUGUGGAGGAAGGAGGCGGGUUCAGCUCAGUAACAGCAGCUGAACUGAAGCUGAACUGAUCAGUCAGAGCUACGAUGAGACCAACAUCUCUAGCAGCUUCACUCUUUCUGGCCUCAUUGCUGAGCUCUACUGGGGUUAAAGUCUCUCCAGCUGAUCUGACUGUGAUUCCCAGCAAAUCUCAGUUCUUUGAAUAUGAAUCAGUGACUCUGAUCUGUGAGGAUGGAUGGACUGUGAGGAGAAACACAAGCAGAGGAACCAGGAAGAGAUGUGAAGGAUGGGGGAAAUUAAAUGGUUCUACGUGUAACAUGGAUUACUUGUUCGAACAUGAUACUGGUUUAUACUGGUGUGAGUCCAUGUCUGGAUCCUCCAGCAGCAGCAGCAGCAUCCAGCUCUCUGUCUCUGGUGGAUCAGUGAUCCUGCAGAGUCCUGUCCUCCCUGUGAUGGAGGGAGAUGACGUCACUCUGAGCUGCAGAGCAAGGAAUCCAACCCACAACCUCCCAGCUGCUUUCUAUAAAGAUGGCUCCUUCAUUGGUGAUGGACCAUCAGGUCACAUGACCCUCCUCCAUGUUUCCAGCUCUGAUGAAGGCCUCUAUAAAUGUAAUGUCAAAGGUCAUGGAGAGUCUCCAUCCAGCAGGAUCUCUGUCAAAGAGAAACCAUCAACCACAUCUUCCCCAUCAACUCCUCCUCCAUCAUCAUCCUCUUCACCUUCCUCCCAGUUUCUCGUCUCUGGUCUCUCGUCUCUAUCAGCUGGUGUUGUUCUGGUUCUACUGGUUCUACUGGUUCUACUGGUCAAACGUCACAUUAACAGGAAAUCUAAAGAUAAUCAGGAAGAUGGAGAGGAAAGUUUAACUUACACUGAUGUUCAAAUAUUCCAGAGGAAACAACAGAAAGACAAACCAAACGGAGGAAGCGAUCCGUCUACAGUCGUUUCCACGGUGACGACAGAUGAAGUCAGUUAUGGGCAGAUAAUCAUCAGAGAAACCAGGAAAAGAGAUUAUAAACCAGAACCAAAAGUAGUUUAUUCCACCCUGAGGUAAUCCUCCAGGUCCAGCAGGAACCUCCACCGGCCUAGUUAAAGCCCAGAGUGAUCGAUCGACUCCUGAUCAGAUCAUCAGUCUGCCAUGUGGAGCAGAGAAUGGAUCUGUUUUAUCAGAACUGAUCUGGAGUCGGAUCCGGUUCUUCUCUACGGGAACAGGAAGAUCGACCCGAAACCCGGUUCCGUCUGUAGAACCGGUUCCAUCUGUACAACCGGUUCCGUCUGUAGAACCGGUUCCAUCUGCAGAACUGAUUCCAUCUGUAGAACUGGUUCCAUCUGUAGAACUGGUUCCAUCUUUAGAACCGGUUCCAUCUUUAGAACCGGCUGCAGGAUGAGACCAACAACAUGGUGUUGGUCUGGUGUGUCGAUUUGUUCAGACCAUAAAUGAUCCCAGGCAGAGAUCCAGUCUGAACUUUGACCCCUGAAAGAUUUAAAUGUAUAUUUUAAUAUAUUUGAACAUUUGUUUAUUUCUAUUAAAUGUUGUUACUUUAAUGUUUCUCCUUUAAUUUUGUAUCAAAUGUUUUGUGUUGCUGUUUCAUAAAUGAUGUUUUCUAAAUAAAGAUGUUUUUCCUAAAAUGUGUUUUUUUAACAUAAUCUGCAUGAUGGAUGUUUAUUGAUACUAAACUCUAAAUUAAUAUAAAGUUUUCAUUUGGCUGUAAUUAUUGUCACUGUGAAGC